GAGCCGUUAGCUCAGUGCAGAGCAGCUGGUUCUUAACCAGCGGGUCCCUUGGUUCAACUCCAAGGACGGCUCACCA
rnacentral:tRNA from 1 species